rnacentral:rRNA from 1 species
UACGUAGGGUCCGAGCGUUGUCCGGAAUUAUUGGGCGUAAAGCGCACGUAGGCGGCAUUGCAAGUCGGAUGUGAAAUCUUAUGGCUUAACCAUAAAAGUGCAUCCGAAACUGCAGUGCUUGAGUACUUAAGAGGAUCGCGGAAUUCCCGGUGUAGAGGUGAAAUUCGUAGAUAUCGGGAGGAACACCAGUGGCGAAGGCGGCGAUCUGGGAAGAUACUGACGCUGAGGUGCGAAAGCGUGGGGAGCAAACAGG